AUCGCUUCUCGGCCUUUUGGCUAAGAUCAAGUGUAGUAUCUAAUAUGGCUAUCAGCCAAUUGCCCUCUCCUGGGGGUGUCUGAACCUGAAUAACUCAC
ensembl:snRNA U2 U2 spliceosomal RNA